rnacentral:lncRNA from 1 species
GGGCGCUCCGGGAGGCGGCGGCCGGGCGGGAGCCGAGAACUCGGGCCGAGCGUGGCCGGAUCCCCAGCCGCUGCGGGGCCCAGCGUGGACGCGGUGAGUGCCCGGGAGGGUCGGGGACGAGGCCGAUCGAGCCCGCCCCGCGGUCCCGCGGCUCCUGGAGUUUCCAAUGGGACCGGCUCCCGCCGCGGGGACCCGGGUCCGCGUGGGCACGGGAAAGGCCGAGCCGAGGGGACGUCCUCUGGCUACGGGGCAAGGGGCGGCGUCGGGGUGGGGGGCCGAACCUUCUCCGGGGACCCUCGAGGGCCUUACUCUGUCCUCCUGGUCGCCCCCCGGGGACCCCUGGAUCUCUGCCCUGAGCCCCAGCUCCUGGGGCCGCCGCCUGGGGCCACCAUCUGGAGGCGGUGGGCGGCCUGGCCCCAGCAAGGGGUGCCCCUCCCCUCGGCGGGGACCGGCUGGCCCCACCCCCGCCGAGACCAAGUUCAACAAGUUUGGCCGAGAAAGUCCCGGCGCCUUCACGGCAGGCCCGGUCCCGCCGCCGCGCGUGGGCUCCCCGGCCUCCUGGGUGCGCGGCGCCCGCAGUGGGGGUUCCCAGAUCUGGAGGCUCAGGGCUUGGUGUGCGUCACCUGGGAGCGAGCGGGCACCCCAGCCGGCAGGUCCGGUUUCCAAAAGCGCCCCUUUGUUUUGCCCCUCCCCCGGCCCUGCCUCCUCCUCUUCCCCCCCACCCCCCCCCAGCAGCCAAGGCCUCUGAUUGUGGGUGCCAGCCCCACGGGCUAGGGUGCCCCUCUCUGGACAGCGACUGUUCCCUCCCGUGUCCUCCGGCUGCAGGCUGACAGGGAGGGGCUGUGGGAGAGAAGCCCUGGGGCUCAGUGACUCAGAGCCCCCGGGCUGCCCAGGGUGGCUGGGCUCUCCACUGGUGACCCCAGCGUCUGCAGAGGAGCAGAAUCGUGGCUGCUUGGAGAGCCGGACACCCUGUCCCUGGAAAGCGAUCCCUAGACCCCAGGGACGGGGACAGGGACAGGCACACCAGGGUGAGUGGAGGAGCCUGAAACGGCCACUGUGGCCCCUCUCCAGGCUCCUCUUGGGGACUUCAGCCCCUGCUGUCAGCCUGAGCUCUGAUGGCUCCUUGGGUGGCAGGGCUGGUGUGGAGUCCAGCUUUUCUCUUAC